CCAAGAUUUACACAGCACGUAAAUUGCAGAACUGGAAUUUGGAGGCAGGCACUCAAGCACUACAAUGCAUGCUCUUUAUAAUUUCACUCUAGCCAUUCAUGUGACAGUUUUUAAAACCAGGUCACUCUACCAUAUACAGAAGAAGUAUGCCUGUCCUAUUAGAUUAAAUCAACAUGCAUGCACCCCCUUGAGCAUACAUCUCAAGAAGCCUCUGAGAACACCAUGAGGAACGGCCCCUGACUUCAAGUGGCUUUGCAAACCCACAGUACAUGUGCUGCGGUUAUGUGACAGUUUAAACCUGUUUUCUCUUAAA
rnacentral:lncRNA from 1 species